rnacentral:rRNA from 1 species
AGCAGCCGCGGUAAUUCCAGCUCCAAUAGCGUAUAUUAAAGUUGUUGCAGUUAAAAAGCUCGUAGUUGAAUUUCGGGAUUGACGUGAUGGUCAUGCCUUAAGGGGUAUGAACUGUCACAGUUGAUUUCUCACCUUCUGGAGAAACUUGAUGUCCUUUAUUGGGUGUCUUGCGGAUCCAGGACCUUUACCUUGAAAAAAUUAGAGUGUUUAAAGCAGGCAUUUUUGCUCGAAUACAUUAGCAUGGAAUAAUAGAAUAGGACGGCAUGGUUCUAUUUUGUUGGUUUCUAGGAUCACCGUAAUGAUUAAUAGGGAUAGUUGGGGGCAUUAGUAUUCAAUUGUCAGAGGUGAAAUUCUUGGAUUUAUUGAAGACUAACUACUGCGAAAGCAUUUGCCAAGGAUGUUUUCAUUAAUCAAGAACGAAAGUUAGGGGAUCGAAGACGAUCAGAUACCGUCGUAGUCUUAACCAUAAACUAUGCCGACUAGGAAUCAGACGAUGUUAAUUUUUAAUGACUUCGG